rnacentral:rRNA from 1 species
GAUGAACGCUGGCGGCGUGCUUAACACAUGCAAGUCGAACGAAGCGCGCGGAAGGAAGGCCUUCGGGCCGGAGAGCCGCGGGACUGAGUGGCGGACGGGUGAGUAACGCGUGGGCAACCUGCCCCGUACAGGGGGAUAACAGCCGGAAACGGCUGCUAAUACCGCAUAAGCGCACAGCGCCGCAUGGCGCGGUGUGAAAAGCUCCGGCGGUACGGGAGGGGCCCGCGUCUGAUUAGGCAGUUGGCGGGGCAGCGGCCCACCAAACCGACGAUCAGUAGCCGGCCUGAGAGGGCGGCCGGCCACAUUGGGACUGAGACACGGCCCAA